GGAGAGAUGGCCGAGCGGCUGAAGGCGCUCCCCUGCUAAGGGAGUAACUGGUUAAGAGCUGGUUCGAGGGUUCAAAUCCCUCUCUCUCCGCCA
rnacentral:tRNA from 1 species